AUUUUCAGACCAUCGUGACUUAGAUCAUUAUCACCACCAUCAUCCCCUGCAUCGUGCCCUUCAUCAGACACCCAAAAUGCACCACAAACAUCACAGGCAAAAAAGAAGAAAACGCACAACAAAUCUUCCAAAAAACCCUCCUCCCCCUUCCCUCCUACCUAUGGCUGGAAACAACAUAACAGUUGUGACAAAAAGGAAGCAGCCUUCUCUAGCCCACCCAAGUUUCCAUCAAAGGAGCAAGCCUAUGUCAGUAAGAAGAAAGCUGGCUAACCCU